GGAAUUUCAGAGUUUGCUGAAAAGGUGGCUGGCAAUAAGACAGUGAAUUCAUCUUUGAGCACUUGCCGUCUGAGGUGCACAUGGGUAUAGUUGGCAGGCUUUUAGGACACACAGAUGCUGGGGUCAUCCAGACACCCAGGCACAAGGUGACAGAGAUGGGACAAACAGUGACUCUGAACUGUGAGCCAAUUUCUGGCCACACUGAUCUUUUCUGGUACAGACAGACCACAGUCCAAGGACUGGAGCUGCUGACUUACUUCCGCAGCCGGUCUCCUAUGGAUGAAGGUGUGAUGCCCAAGGAUCGAUUCUUCGCUGAGAUGCCCACUGGAUCACCCUCCACCCUGAGGAUCCAGCCCACAGAGCCCAAGGACUCAGCUGUGUAUCUCUGUGCCAGCAGUGUAGCCACAGCACUGCAGAAUCAACCCCUCCCUGUGCAGAAACUAUCCUGCUUCCCUUUCUCCCUCCAACUUCUAGCAGUUGUGAGUAAAGUCAUCCAUGCUCCUAUUUCUGCAUGA